rnacentral:rRNA from 1 species
GCGCACCAGGCGCGAAACCUUCGCAAUGCAGGAAACUGCGACGAGGGAACUCCAAGUGCCUACGCUCAGCGUAGGCUGUUCUCAAGCCUAGAAAGCUUGAGGAGUAAGGGCUGGGUAAGACGGGUGCCAUCUGUGGUAGCAGUCAAUAGAUUCGAUUUUGUUACUGCAAGGCAUAAGCCGCCGCGGUAAUACCCGCAGCCCAAGUGGUGGCCGCUUUUAUGGGCCUAAAGCGUCCGUAGCCGGCCCGGUAAAUGCCUGGGUAAAUCGGUGGAGCCCAACUUCACGAAUUCCGGGAGACUGCCGAGCUCGGGACCGGAAGAGGGAGAGGGUACUUCGAGGGG